GACGAACGCUGGCGGCGUGCCUAAUACAUGCAAGUCGAGCGCAGGAAGCCGACGGAACCCUUCGGGGGGAAGUCGACGGAAUGAGCGGCGGACGGGUGAGUAACACGUAAAGAACCUGCCCUCAGGUCUGGGAUAACCACGAGAAAUCGGGGCUAAUACCGGAUGGGUCAUCGGACCGCAUGGUCCGAGGAUGAAAGGCGCUUCGGCGUCGCCUGGGGAUGGCUUUGCGGUGCAUUAGCUAGUUGGUGGGGUAAUGGCCCACCAAGGCGACGAUGCAUAGCCGACCUGAGAGGGUGAUCGGCCACACUGGGACUGAGACACGGCCCAGACUCCUACGGGAGGCAGCAGUAGGGAAUCUUCCACAAUGGACGAAAGUCUGAUGGAGCAACGCUGCAUGAACGAUGAAGGCCUUCGGGUCGUAAAGUUCUGUUGUAAGGGAAGAACAAGUGCCGCAGGCAAUGGCGGCACCUUGACGGUACCUUGCGAGAAAGCCACGGCUAACUACGUGCCAGCAGCCGCAGUAAGAC
rnacentral:rRNA from 1 species